rnacentral:tRNA from 1 species
ACUGUCAUGAUGAAAUUGGUAGAAAUACUCCUUUUAGUAAACAGUACUAGAGUAUCUCGGUUCAAGUCCGAGUGGUGGCA